AGUGAACGCUGGCGGUAGGCCUAACACAUGCAAGUCGAACGGCAGCACAGUAAGAGCUUGCUCUUACGGGUGGCCAGUGGCGGACGGGUGAGGAAUACAUCGGAAUCUACUUUUUCGUGGGGGAUAACGUAGGGAAACUUACGCUAAUACCGCAUACGACCUACGGGUGAAAGCAGGGGAUCUUCGGACCUUGCGCGAUUGAAUGAGCCGAUGUCGGAGUAGAUAGUUGGCGAGGUAAAGGCCCACCAGGGCGACGAUCCGUAGCUGGUCUGAGAGGAUGGUAGGCCACACUGGAGCGGGGACACGGUCAUGACGACUAAGGGAGGGCGCAGAGUGGAAUAUUAGACAGUAGGGGCGAGCAUGGUCCAACCAGAGCGAGUGGGUGGAGAAGGCCUUCCGGUUGUAAUGCCCUUUUGUGGGGAGAGAAAAGCAGCCGGUUGAUACCAAGCUGUUCUCACGGUACCCAAAGAAUAAGCACCGGCUAACUUCGUG
rnacentral:rRNA from 1 species